CGGCUUCCUUAGGUUCCAGGGAGCCGUCUUCUUCUGCUGCACGCCGCCCGCGCCGAUCUCCGUCGCCGCCUGCCGAUCACCGUCGCCCUCCGGAGGGUUAUGAGUACACCCACCUGCUGUGUCAUGGCUUCCGCCUGAGUCAGGACGCUUAUGGAUAGUGAGCCAUUGUCCUCGAAGCUACUUCUCCUCAUACUGAUCCGGUCUCGCUCAUUCUGUACAGCUGAAACAACAGCAAACAUGGUUUCUGGAUCACAUACUUUGUAUGAUAACAACAGACGCCCCACCUGAUCUGCGCAGCUGAGGCCCCUCAUCAUGAGAACAGCCGAAUAUGCAGAGCAGUGAGGAGGAUUUGGCGAUUUGCAUCAUCCAUGGUCUUUGAGGAGCACUUACUGCGCUUUUUAUUAGGCUGGACCUGUCCCAUCCAUCACUGCUGCCUUGUAAAUCACAGCAAGAAACUCAGCUGAACCCAGCUGCAGUCCCACAAUUACCAAAAUGUCAUUUUACAUUCUUUUGUACUGUGCACAAGACAGUUUCAUAGAUAUACCCAGCAAAGCAGUUCGGAACAGCAAUAGAUCAUUUCAGAUCAGUUCACUCAGCUUUCCCAGACUCCUGAGCUGCAAAUCGGCCAUGUUAUGCAGCAAUGUACUAUGCAGUAAUGACAGAAUCACAUGACUGGAGUCUGGGCCAGUAGUACACCCCUGAUGAGAGUUGUCAACCAUAUUCCACAAAUAGAUUGACGGAACAUUGAGAAAGUGGAGAAUCAAGGGGGGAUUAAAGUGCAGAAAAUGACUCACAAUCAGAGCUGAACCUGGACACAGCAGAGACCUCACCCCAGAUAAUAGAGAUUUAUAGUAUGGGGGGUUCAAAACACAUGCUGCAGAUACCCGAUACUCUAUGUGAUAUUCUGUAUUCCAGCCAGAUAUUAAUUGCACAUGGAAUGAUCCCGACUGUAGAUGUGUCCCCCUGUGGGCCCCGCACUCGCUGCUUAAGAAUAUUUUCCACAUACUAUUCUGUCCUUAUCACAUCACAACUCAAAGAUUAUUAGAAUCCAGAUAAAUAGGACAGUGGAAUAGACAGAGACAAAGCUAUUAGGCACCUUCUAACCAAGUGAAAUAAAUAACUGUGACUGCAAUGCAAAAACAAAUACAAAAAAGCAACAGUAUCCUGCACGUGUUAUUGUGGUGGUCCAGAGCAGGGGGGGGGGGGGGGUCAUCUUUCGCUAACAUGAACAUUGUUCAUUCGGGUGACUGUUGCCUCAAAGGUCCCUACCUCACCCUCAGAACUAUGGGCAAGAUUUAUCAAAAUCUGUGCAGAGGAAAAGUUGACUAGUUGCCCGAAGCAACCAAUCAUGAAAGAAAUGAAAGAAGCUAGCUGAUUGGUUGCUAUGGGCAACUGCACCUUUCUUCCUCUGCACAGGUUUUGAUAAAUCUGCCCUAUGUCUUUUAAUGUGUUUCUAUGUAAGUGUAUUUUUCAAUGUUAUUAUAUGUAUCCUCCAUGCACUGAGCCUAAAUAUAGUU